rnacentral:ncRNA from 2 species
CCUUCGCGGCUUGUUUCAGGUGCUCUGUGGCCAUGGCCGACGGAGUGAAACAGGGAAGUCGGUGAGUGAUGGUCUUCGAACGCUGAAGCCUCAUGAUCCCGACGCUGCCCCCGCAACGGUAAAUGAGUGAAGACUGCGCCUUGAGCCACUGUGUCGAACGCCGACAUGGGAAGGCGCGCAGUCAGGCCAGCGCCGCUCAUGAGCCCGGAGACCGGCCUGAUUCAUCCAGCGGCA